rnacentral:lncRNA from 10 species
AUGGAAACACUUUCUCUGAAAAAAGACAUAAAACAAUUGAAAGUCAGCAGUGUCUUUCUUGCAAAAUAUUAUGAAGAUCAGGACAAUUAGAAUUAGGUGCUUUGGGAAUGGAAUUAAAUGAGCUGAUUCAUGUAAAGGGAUUUAACUGGGUGCCGGACCUGUCAUAAACUCUUAACGUGAACAGGAGAGUUACUGUAAAAACUGAGACAACAAAACAGCCGGAGGCAUGAAAAGAAAAAGAAUCCCGCAUGAAUAGCUUGCUAUAUGUAAUUUGGUUAGGAACAAUUCACAGGUUUUGACAGCUUUAUUAGAGUUCCAUUUUAGUAAGAUUCAGGUGAAAGUGAGGUCAUCACUUUAAAACAAAAAUCCUGAGAACAUACCCAGAUGGACUCACAUAAAUGAUGUAUACUAAUGUCGUCAAGUAAAUAUUUUAAAGAGUUAAUUGCUUUCUUUAUUAAAAACUGGAUUUAAAUACUCCAUUAUUUCAUAAGAAUAAAACAACUACAACACCGCCACAACAUAAAAAGUGUUUACCUUAAUGUAUUAUGAACACCAGCAGUGAGUUCCAGUAAUAUCUUGCACUUCUGAAGAUGUGUAAGUAUACUAAGGAACAUGCUUAACUUAGAACUCACUAAUGGAAGUUACAGAGAUUUAUUCAGAUCCAUGUUAGCAUGCUUGAUACCCUUAAGCACACUAACAAUAUACAGCAUCUGCUUUCAGGGAUGUUUUUACCUCUUGUACUAGUUUCAGAAAGCCCAUGUCUGAAUAAUUCCUAAGUAAUGGUUUUUUAGCUUACUCUAUAAUUUUGAUUUUGAGCCUGA